UACGUAGGGGGCAAGCGUUGUCCGGAAUCAUUGGGCGUAAAGCGCGCGUAGGCGGCCCGAUCAGUCCGCUGUAAAAGUCCAGGGCUCAACCCCUGGAAAGCCGGUGGAUACUGUCGGGCUAGAGUCCGGAAGAGGCGAGUGGAAUUCCUGGUGUAGCGGUGAAAUGCGCAGAUAUCAGGAAGAACACCUAUGGCGAAGGCAGCUCUCUGGGACGGUACUGACGCUGAGACGCGAAAGCGUGGGAGCGAACAGG
rnacentral:rRNA from 1 species